rnacentral:misc_RNA from 1 species
GUGAGUCAUCGAAUCUUUGAACGCACCUUGCACCCUUUGGUAUUCUGAAGGGUACGCCCGUUUGAGUGUCAUUGUACUCUCAAUCCCACGACUUUAUGUGGUGUGAUUGGACUUGGAUCUUGUCGCAUCCUGUGACUGAUCCGAAAUGCAUCAGCGUGUGUCCGUCGUGACGAUAAACCGAUUGUUAAACUUCAUCGGGCUCGCUCUGUCGAGGUUGUCUGGCGAAAGCACAUGCUAAACCCCCAUUACAUUUUGACAAUUUGACCUCAAAUCGGGUGGGAUCACCCGCUGAACUUAAGC